UUAAAGGAAUUGACGGGACCCGCACAAGCAGCGGAGCGUGUGGUUUAAUUCGUUGCUACACGAAGAACCUUACCUGGGUUUGACAUAUAGGUUGUAGGGAACUGAAAAGGGACCGACCCUUCGGGGAGCCUAUACAGGUGUUGCAUGGCUGUCGUCAGCUCGUGUCGUGAGAUGUUCGGUUAAGUCCGCUAACGAGCGCAACCCUCGUCGUAUGUUAUAUGUGUCAUACGAGACUGCCGGUAAAAGCCGGAGGAAGGUGAGGAUGAUGUCAAGUCAGCAUGACCUUUAUAUCCAGGGCUACACACACGCUACAAUGGUCUGUACAAUGGGUAGCCAAGCCGCGAGGCGGAGCCAAUCCUGAAAGCAGGCCUCAGUUCAGAUUGCAGUCUGCAACUCGACUGCAUGAAGCCGGAGUUGCUAGUAACCGCAGGUCAGCAAUACUGCGGUGAAUACGUUCCCGGGUCUU
rnacentral:rRNA from 1 species